CAUGAAUUGAAAUAAUAUUUACAACAUAAUAAUAGUGUAAUAUUUUGUUUGAAAUAAAUUACAGGAAAAUUCGUAUAAGAAAUGGUGUAGAACAGUGGCUGGCAAAUGUAGAGAAAAGCAUGUUUGAAGUGCUGAAAAAGAAGAAGCUGGAAGCUCCAGAUUCCUUCCUGAUUAUAAGAUGCUGUGCUAGAAUCAGGAAUCUGUGUGUCUCCCCCGUCCCAUUUUGGUGUGGAUAUUUUCUCCACUUUUAUCUGCUGUGCACAAGUCUGUUUGGUGAGUCUGUGGGACAGGGAUGACUGUGGCCUUCUCUGCUGCCAUGUAGCUCCUGCUUGCUUGUUUGUGUGGUUUUUAUAAUGAUAGGUAUGUGU
rnacentral:lncRNA from 1 species